GGAUGUGAGGGCGAUCUGGCUGCGACAUCUGUCACCCCAUUGAUCGCCAGGGUUGAUUCGGCUGAUCUGGCUGGCUAGGCGGGUGUCCCCUUCCUCCCUCACUGCUCCAUGUGCGUCCCUCCCGAAGCUGCGCGCUCGGUCGAAGAGGACGACCAUCCCCGCUAGAGGAGGACCGGUCUUCGGUCAAGGGUAUACGAGUAGCUGCGCUCCCCUGCUAGAACCUCCAAACAAGCUCUCAAGGAACUAAGAUGACUCUGGAAGUUAUUAUUGUUAUAAUAAUUAUUAUUAGUUUAUUAUUUAAU
rnacentral:snRNA from 1 species